rnacentral:misc_RNA from 1 species
UCCCCGUUCUCCUGGGCAGUCUCUCCAGAGUUCUCGGCUUGACCCGUUAGUAACUGAAGACAGGGGUAGCGCUGUUUCCAACGCCGUUGACCAGCCGUUCGAGCCCAGGUAAGGUUCUUCGCGUUGCGUCGAAUUGAACCACAUGCUCCACCGCUUGUGCGGGCCCCCGUCAAUUCCUUUGAGUUUCAGCCUUGCGACUGUACUCCCCAGGCGGCAUAUUUAACGCGUUAGCUCCGGCACGGACAGAAUGAACUGCCCACACCAAAUAUGCAUCGUUUAGGGCGUGGACUAC